AUUGAACGCUGGCGGCAUGCCUUACACAUGCAAGUCGAACGGCAGCACGGGUGCUUGCACCUGGUGGCGAGUGGCGAACGGGUGAGUAAUACAUCGGAACGUACCUUAUCGUGGGGGAUAACGCAGCGAAAGUUGCGCUAAUACCGCAUACGCCCUGAGGGGGAAAGCGGGGGACCGUAAGGCCUCGCGCGAUUAGAGCGGCCGAUGUCUGAUUAGCUUGUUGGUGAGGUAAAAGCUCACAAAGGCGAUGAUCAGUAGCUGGUCUGAGAGGACGAUCAGCCACACUGGGACGGAGACACGGCCCAGACUCCUACGGGAGGCAGCAGUGGGGAAUUUUGGACAAUGGGGGCAACCCUGAUCCAGCAAUGCCGCGUGAGUGAAGAAGGCCUUCGGGUUGUAAAGCUCUUUUGUCAGGGAAGAAACAGCAGCUCUAACACAGUCUGCGAAUGACGGUACCUGAAGAAUAAGCACCGGCUAACUACGUGCCAGCCGCCGCGGUAA
rnacentral:rRNA from 1 species